rnacentral:lncRNA from 1 species
CAAACCUCCUUGUAAAUCUCAUCACCUUCAUUUGCAAAGACUCGAUCAUGAAGAGUUAUGUAUGUUGACUUCACCGAGUAAUUACCACCUUGAUCCACCCUUCGUCUCCACAUGUUCUCCUCACUCUAUCAAGAUCUUCAUGUAACCUCUCUACUAUCUCUCUUUCCCACUCAAAUCAUCCCUCCUCCAUAACACCCUCCACUCCCACUCUUCCUCAACCCACUUACCCAUAUUUUCAAACAAAAG